rnacentral:rRNA from 1 species
GUACACACCGCCCGUCGCUGCUACCGAUUGAAUAAUCCGGUGAACUCGUCGGAUUGUGAUAUUUAUAUAUCUUUCGGGYUAUAUUAUAUUACAAGAAGUUGAGUAAACCAUGUUAUUUAGAGGAAGCAAAAGUCGUAACAAGGUUUCCGUAGGUGAACCUGCAGAAGGAUCA